rnacentral:rRNA from 1 species
CACGUAGGGUGCGAGCGUUGUCCGGAAUUAUUGGGCGUAAAGAGCUCGUAGGCGGUGUGUCGCGUCGGCCGUGAAAACCUGCAGCUUAACUGUGGGCUUGCGGUCGAUACGGGCAUCACUGGAGUUCGGCAGGGGAGACUGGAAUUCCUGGUGUAGGGGUGAAAUGCGCAGAUAUCAGGAGGAACACCGGUGGCGAAGGCGGGUCUCUGGGCCGAUACUGACGCUGAGGAGCGAAAGCGUGGGGAGCGAACAGG